GAUGAAGAACGCAGCGAAAUGCGAUAAGUAAUGUGAAUUGCAGAAUUCAGUGAAUCAUCGAAUCUUUGAACGCACAUUGCGCUCCUUGGUAUUCCGAGGGGCAUGCCUGUUCGAGCGUCAUUAUAACCCCUCAAGCUCAGCUUGGUGUUGGGGCCUGCUGCACUGGCAGCCCUUAAAAUCAGUGGCGGCGCCAUCUGGCUCUAAGCGUAGUAAUUCUUCUCGCUAUGGAGUCCUGGUGGAUGCUUGCCAUCAACCCCCAAUUUUUCUAUGGUUGACCUCGGAUCAGGUAGGGAUACCCGCUGAACUUAAGCAUAUCAAUAAGCGGAGGA
rnacentral:misc_RNA from 1 species